rnacentral:rRNA from 1 species
CAGUCGUGUUCUCUGGGAUUCAGCCUUGCUUCUUGCUUGGUGUAUUUCCUUUCCGAUGGGUCAGCAUCAGUUUCGACCAAGGGAAAAAGACAUUUGGAAUGUGGCUGUCUUCGGACAGUGUUAUAGCCUUGUGUUGUAUGUCUUGGUUGGGACUGAGGGACGCAGCGCGCCAUUUUGGCCGGGGGUCGCUCCUCUCGACACGCGCUUAGGAUGCUGGCAUAAGUGGCUUUAAGCGGCCCGUCUUGAAACACGGACCAAGGAGUCCUAACAUAUAUG